AUUGAACGCUGGCGGCAGGCUUAACACAUGCAAGUCGAGCGGGGUGAUGGUGCUUGCACUAUCACUUAGCGGCGGACGGGUGAGUAAUGCUUAGGAAUCUGCCUAUUAGUGGGGGACAACAUCUCGAAAGGGAUGCUAAUACCGCAUACGUCCUACGGGAGAAAGCAGGGGAUCACUUGUGACCUUGCGCUAAUAGAUGAGCCUAAGUCGGAUUAGCUAGUUGGUGGGGUAAAGGCCUACCAAGGCGACGAUCUGUAGCGGGUCUGAGAGGAUGAUCCGCCACACUGGGACUCCGACACGGCCCAGACUCCUACGGGAGUCAGCAGUGGGGAAUAUAGGACAAUGGGGGGAACCCUGAUCCAGCCAUGCCGCGGGUGUGAAGAAGGCCUUAUGGUUGUAAAGCACUUUCAGCGAGGAGGAAAGGUUGGCGCCUAAUACGUGUCAACUGUGACGUUACUCGCAGAAGAAGCACCGGCUAACUCCGUGCCAGCAGCCGCCGUAA
rnacentral:rRNA from 1 species